rnacentral:rRNA from 1 species
UGCCAGCAGCCGCGGUAAUACAGAGGGUGCAAGCGGUAAUCGGAAUUACUGGGCGUAAAGCGCGCGUAGGUGGUUCAGUAAGAUGGAAGUGAAAUCCCCGGGCUUAACCUGGGAACUGCUUUCAUAACUGCUGAGCUAGAGUACGGUAGAGGGUAGUGGAAUUUCCUGUGUAGCGGUGAGAUGCGUAGAUAUAGGAAGGAACACCAGUGGCGAAGGCGGCUACCUGGACUGAUACUGACACUGAGGUGCCAAAGCGCCGGCAGCUAACCGGAUCAGAUA